UUGGUCGAUCCUGAAGCAUGCCACCGCCACCACCGCGUAGCCCUCUGCCUCCCAAUAUCUUGCUCCUCCGCCAACAUCCGUGAUCGCCGCCGCCGCCUCCAUUGCAGACCUCCAGGUCAUCAUGGGACCACGCCGCCCCCACCUGCGCGGAAUCUGAGGGCAUGGCGCUAGGAACCCAAGCUGCAGGGCGGGCAGCGAGGAGCGACGCAAUAAGGCCCUGCCAGCCGUGAUAUACGCCCGGAACGGGCGGGCGCACGGAGAGGGGCCGCGGUGCGCCCGAGGGUCGCCGAGGCCUCCGCGCCCGUGGCCGCGGUCGAGGGCCACGGUAGGCAGGAGCCCCCAUCGCGUCCACUGUCGAGAUCCCCAUCACGUGCUGCCAGGUCGCCCGAGGGGCCACAAGGACACGGGAAGUCGACCCCGUGCUCGGUUCCCUCCGCCGCUACAGCCUAUCAUCUUGGCCUAAUUCUGGCGCCCUCCUCGUUUCCGUUUACCCGCUGUCACGCCCUACUCCUACACCCACGCUGUAGUUCCUCUGUGCUUGGCGCUGCAAACUCCCCGCUCAGCGGUCACGAGAUCUCAUUGGAAACAAUUAUACAGGAUAAUAUCUAUGGAGUGGCUUACUCAACCAAGUAUCAUGGUUUUUGGUGAAAAUAUUAAGGGCACGAAGAAAUAAUAUUGAAGUGUUGUAGGUUGAAAAUAUAAUUGACGAAAAACAUACAGGGAAAAAGGUCUUGCUAGAAAUUGUUUAUGAUGUUGAAUUCUCUCCCCUUGUAAUUAUUAGCUUCUAGCCUUAUAUUUGAUGACUCACCUGAUCACUAUAAUUGAUCAUUUCAACUACGACACAGGUAAUUUUCGACACUCCCUUUUUACCUCUGAACAAGUUUAAUAAUUACUUCGAUAUUUAGAAUAUGCUCCUUAUGUCUGUUAUCAUUUCUUAAAACGACACAUAUAUAAGACCCAACUAUUUGAUUGUUGUUUUGUUUAAUCAGAAUCAUUGGGGAAGAUUCGAUAGCAUGCUUCUUAUUUCGGUUGACCAUUUUCUAAAGUUGUUGAGCGACAUUGUGUUCAUAUAUAAUGUACCAGAUUAUUAGUACUAGACGUCUAGACAUUCUACCUUCAAUAUUUUUUGGAACAAAGCUUCAUCUUCUUUGGUUCCGUUUCAUGACAUAAAAGAAUUCACCAAACGCAUUUUUUCUGGAGUUUUUGUCGAGUAUUGUAUAACUGAUGUUGCCCAGCCUAUUCUUCUAUGUUAAUAGCUAUCCAGUUAUAUCUAUUCUUUCAUUUGCACUUCGUGAAAGAUGUGUGGCCUACAAUAUUGUGAGUGUUACCUCUCCUUCAAGCUAACUUUUUUUUUCAGAAAGUCUCCUUCAAGAUAUAUAGCCAUCAAUAUUUUACUACACCUUCCGUAGAGAAAGAAAGAUAGGGAUUGGACUGAUUCUUGUUACUUUUGUCAGAGAGAUAUGGGAGUAUGGGACACACAUGGAGAGAUGGAACAGCCGGGGGGCUAGGGUGCCGCUUCUUGAUCUGCAUAAGCUAAAUUUGCUGCCGAAGUUACUCUGGUAUCUAACUGACAUGUAAAGGAGUCAUGAACAGUUCAACCCAUACAAUGAGCAUUUAUUCCCAAUUAUUUGAGAAAGACUGUGGAGAUUGAUAUCAAGUACGGAGCAUGAAGGUUUCAUGGCAUGAAUAAAGUCAAUUACAACAGAUUAUAACCCAGGAACACAGGAAACCCCUGGACUUUCCAAAACCAGGCAAAGCACCCCUUGUCGUUGAUUAUGGUGGUUUUCGCGAGCGGUUUUGCCUACGUGGCAAGUUUGCGGUAAGGAAAUUGGAUUUUGAUUGCCACGCUGGACCCUCCCGAUCUUAGCGUCGAACAGAGCCUGGGGGUAGGGGACGUCACGGCGGCUGGUUGACGAGUAGAUAUGACACCACCCAAUUACCUAUCUGUUCAGUUUCAUUUCCGAGGUGAAUUGCAUCAUGAUGGAAGUGAAUGGAAGGUCAGGAAUUUCCGCAAUUGAGUGUGACAAAUGUGACUUCAACAGUUGGAGAAACACCUUGCAGAUCAUGUUUCCUAUUCUGACGAAGUACUAAAUGGGACAACUUUGUACUAGAAGUUUCCUUUAAAGGGCAUAUGUGCUCUUGUUGUUAUGAAUGAUGAAGAAUCGAAACAAGAGUAGCUACAAGGAGAAAGGCCAAUCAAGCAAGAACAGAACAAGUUCCUGUUCCAUCAACACGACAAAGUUCAGCUCCUGGUCCAUCAACAAAGCAAGCACCUACAACAUCUAAGCCACCAAAUAGGAAGAAGAUGGCCUCAGCUUGUCAAAAUAAUACUUCCGCUACACCUUUCUAUGAGAGAGCAAAGAACAGAAGGAAAGCACAUACACAAUCAUCUCAACCUCCUUCCGUGGCAUCUUCUUAUCAAUUAGCUUCAGGGUCGAUAUCUCAGCCAAUGCCAAACCAGUCAGGAUUCUCAUGGUUGUUAUAUGGCAAUAAAUGAACUUGUAGGUACUUACAGUGAAACAGAACUGAAGUUGUAGUUCAUGGUUGAUUGUUUUGCAUGCUCUGGUUCAUGCUUUAUUAUUAUGUAAAACUACUACGGGUAGCACUUGUUCCCUAUUAUGUGACACAUGCACUGUUCGAUGAUGUGGGUGUGAUAUGGGCAUGACUGGUUCUUAUGUGA